rnacentral:lncRNA from 1 species
AAAAAAAAAAACAAUUAUUUCCUCUUUCCUCUUCUCCAAAACAACACGCAUCAACAACAACCUUUUCAACAACUUCUUCAUUACCAACCUUCUACUUCAUCACCAUCAACAAUUUCUUCAUUACCAUUAACAACAACCUCAAUGUCAACAACAACAAUAAAUUUUACAAACAGCAGCAACAAAAAAAACAACAAACUUAACAUCUAAAUUUUCAUUAAUCAGUCUUUUCACACCAUAUUCAUCCAUCUAAAAAUAAAAAAACCAAAAAUAAAAGAUGAAAACCUAGAAUUAAAAACUCAGAAAUAAUAAAAUACAAAAAUCCAUCUUCAUCUCCUUCUCAUAUAUAUUUUCUUCCCAUUCCUGUUCUUCCAUGGUUUGAUGAUUUCCUUUUUUGUUCUUCCACUACAUCACUGUGUGUUGUGUUGCGUAGAUGAUAUGUGGGUGAGGGAUGAUGAUGCUAGUUUUUUUUGUGGUUGAAGGUGAUGAAUUGUUGAUGCAGUUGUUGAUUUGAAGAAUAAGUUAAAUAAAAACCAAAUAUCAAGUUGUUGUUAUUGUUGCUGCUGUCCACAAUAUGCCAUGUGUGAAGAAUAAAAGAAUGGAAGAAUUGAGUAAUUGUAUGCUUUUGGGUUCAUAAAUUGUUGAGUUUUUGCAUAAAUUAAGCGGUGGUCACUGACGCAGUUGCAAUAGUUUCCGGUGCGGUGGUCGCCGAUGAAAUUUCUUCGACCCCAAAAUAAAUAUAGGGGUUUUGUUGCAGACAUAAUGAGGAAGAAGAAAAUCAUAUUAGUUUUUCAAAUGGAGAUUUGUGGUGGCUGGAAAGUAAGAGAGAAGGUGGGGGUUAGGGUUUUUAAAAUCUUAUCAAUCUAAUAAUAACUUGAUGCCUUUUUGAAGAGGAAGAUAAGAGUAGUUCAAUGGUGGUGGUGGUGUGGUAAAACGACGUCGGACGGUGGAGUAAUGGUGGCUGAAGUAUUUUGAUGGUGGUUCAAGAGGGAGAAGUUGAUGCGUGUUGUUGUUUCAGAGAAGAAGAAAGAGGAAUAGUUGUGUUCCUUUUUUUUUUUUUGGUAGUGAAAUAAUAAUAAUAAUAAUAAUAAUAAUAAUCCUAUGCUGUGAGUUCACAGUAUGUCAUGUGUGCUUUUUAAAUUCAACCAUUGAUCACCAAUCUUAACUGACACGUGGAAAAGAGUUAACAGAUUUUGCAAAAUACUAACGGAUAUGACCAAAAUAGUAAACGACAGAAGAUUUAUGGGACCAAAUUGAAACACUUUAUAGUUAAGGGACCAAAGUGAAAUCCAAAAAUAAGUUAAGGGACCAAAUGAUAUAUUAAGCCUUUAAAAAAUAAAUGCUCGUUAACAAAUGUCUUAAUCGUACAUUUUGCAAAAUUAUGCACACAACCAAUUAAAUGUCAUUUUAUAAAUGUUUGUUGAUUUAUUUUAGGAAAUGGUUAUUUGUUUAGAUCUUUGAUUUUAUUGUUGGUAAAUGGUGUUGGAGGCGGGUUGGACAUGUGGGUACCUUUAAUUUGAAAUUCAAAUAUAUUGUUGAAGUCUAACAUCUUUAUUUUUAUUUUUUUAAGGAAGUCUA